rnacentral:rRNA from 1 species
GAUGAACGCUGGCGGCGUGCCUAAUACAUGCAAGUCGAGCGAACGGACGAGAAGCUUGCUUCUCUGAUGUUAGCGGCGGACGGGUGAGUAACACGUGGAUAACCUACCUAUAAGACUGGGAUAACUUCGGGAAACCGGAGCUAAUACCGGAUAAUAUUUUGAACCGCAUGGUUCAAAAGUGAAAGACGGUCUUGCUGUCACUUAUAGAUGGAUCCGCGCUGCAUUAGUUAGUUGGUAAGGUAACGGCUUACCAAGGCAACGAUGCAUAGCCGACCUGAGAGGGUGAUAGGCCACACUGGAACUGAGACACGGUCCAGACUCCUACGGGAGGCAGCAGUAGGGAAUCUUCCGCAAUGGGCGAAAGCCUGUCGGAGCAACGCCGCGUGAGUGAUGAAGGUCUUCGGAUCGUAAAACUCUGUUAUUAGGGAAGAACAUAUGUGUAAGUAACUGUGCACAUCUUGACGGUACCUAAUCAGAAAGCCACGGCUAACUACGUG